rnacentral:rRNA from 1 species
UACGGAGGGUGCAAGCGUUAUCCGGAAUUAUUGGGUUUAAAGGGUGCGUAGGUGGCUUGUUAAGUCCGGGGUGAAAGCCCACAGCUCAACUGUGGAACUGCCCUGGAUACUGGCGAGCUUGAGUCCAGACGAGGUUGGCGGAAUGGAAGCUGUAGCGGUGAAAUGCAUAGAUACAGUCCAGAACCCCGAUUGCGAAGGCAGCUGACUAGGCUGUUACUGACGCUGAGGCACGAAAGCGUGGGGAGCGAACAGG